rnacentral:rRNA from 1 species
UACAGAGGUCUCAAGCGUUGUUCGGAAUCACUGGGCGUAAAGGGUGCGUAGGCCGCACGGUAAGUCAGAGGUGAAAUCCCGGAGCUCAACUUCGGAAUUGUCUCCGAUACUGCCGUGCUUGAGGACUGGAGAGGAGAUUGGAAUUCACAGUGGAGCAGUGAAAUGCGUAGAUAUUGUGAGGAACACUAGUGGCGAAGGCGAAUCUCUGGACAGUUCCUGACGCUGAGGCACGAAGGCCAGGGGAGCAAACGGG